rnacentral:rRNA from 1 species
GAUGAACGCUGGCGGCGUGCCUAAUACAUGCAAGUCGAGCGAACAGACGAGGAGCUUGCUCCUCUGACGUUAGCGGCGGACGGGUGAGUAACACGUGGAUAACCUACCUAUAAGACUGGGAUAACUUCGGGAAACCGGAGCUACUACCAGAUAAUAUAUUCAACCGCAUGGUUCAAUAGUGAAAGACGGUUUUGCUGUCACUUAUAGAUGGAUCCGCGCCGCAUUAGCUAGUUGGUAAGGUAACGGCUUACCAAGGCAACGAUGCGUAGCCGACCUGAGAGGGUGAUCGGCCACACUGGAACUGAGACACGGUCCAGACUCCUACGGGAGGCAGCAGUAGGGAAUCUUCCGCAAUGGGCGAAAGCCUGACGGAGCAACGCCGCGUGAGUGAUGAAGGUCUUCGGAUCGUAAAACUCUGUUAUUAGGGAAGAACAAAUGUGUAAGUAACUAUGCACGUCUUGACGGUACCUAAUCAGAAAGCCACGGCUAACUACGUG